UACGAAGGGGGCUAGCGUUGCUCGGAAUCACUGGGCGUAAAGCGCACGUAGGCGGAUUGUUAAGUCAGGGGUGAAAUCCUGGAGCUCAACUCCAGAACUGCCUUUGAUACUGGCGAUCUUGAGUCCGGAAGAGGUGAGUGGAACUCCGAGUGUAGAGGUGAAAUUCGUAGAUAUCUGGAGGAACACCGGUGGCGAAGGCGGCGUCCUGGACCAGUUCUGACACUGAGGAGCGAAAGCCAGGGGAGCAAACGGG
rnacentral:rRNA from 1 species